AUUGAACGCUGGCGGAAUGCUUUACACAUGCAAGUCGAACGGCAGCACGGGGCAACCUGGUGGCGAGUGGCGAACGGGUGAGUAAUACAUCGGAACGUGCCCAAUCGUGGGGGAUAACGUAGCGAAAGUUACGCUAAUACCGCAUACGAUCUACGGAUGAAAGCGGGGGAUCGCAAGACCUCGCGCGAAUGGAGCGGCCGAUGUCAGAUUAGGUAGUUGGUGGGGUAAAGGCUCACCAAGCCAACGAUCUGUAGCUGGUCUGAGAGGACGACCAGCCACACUGGAACUGAGACACGGUCCAGACUCCUACGGGAGGCAGCAGUGGGGAAUUUUGGACAAUGGGCGCAAGCCUGAUCCAGCCAUUCCGCGUGCAGGAUGAAGGCCUCGGGUUGUAACUAGCUUUGUAGACGAAAGUACCUGGUUAAGUAACCUGGGGCUCGAUGACGGUACCGUAA
rnacentral:rRNA from 1 species